UCUCUUGAGAGCGGCGGACGGGUGAGUAAUGCCUAGGAAUCUGCCUAGUGGUGGGGGAUAACGUUCGGAAACGGACGCUAAUACCGCAUGCGUCCUACGGGAGAAAGCGGGGGAUCUUCGGACCUCGCGCCAUUAGAUGAGCCUAGGUCGGAUUAGCUAGUUGGUGAGGUAAUGGCUCACCAAGGCGACGAUCCGUAACUGGUCUGAGAGGAUGAUCAGUCACACUGGAACUGAGACACGGUCCAGACUCCUACGGGAGGCAGCAGUGGGGAAUAUUGGACAAUGGGCGAAAGCCUGAUCCAGCCAUGCCGCGUGUGUGAAGAAGGUCUUCGGAUUGUAAAGCACUUUAAGUUGGGAGGAAGGGCAGUAACCUAAUACGUUAUUGUUUUGACGUUACCGACAGAAUAAGCACCGGCUAACUUCGUGCCAGCAGCCGCGGUAAUACGAAGGGUGCAAGCGUUAAUCGGAAUUACUGGGCGUAAAGCGCGCGUAGGUGGUUCAGUAAGUUGGAAGUGAAAUCCCCGGGCUCAACCUGGGAACUGCUUUCAAAACUGCUGAGCUAGAGUACGGUAGAGGGUGGUGGAAUUUCCUGUGUAGCGGUGAAAUGCGUAGAUAUAGGAAGGAACACCAGUGGCGAAGGCGACCACCUGGACUGAUACUGACACUGAGGUGCGAAAGCGUGGGGAGCAAACAGGAUUAGAUACCCUGGUAGUCCACGCCGUAAACGAUGUCAACUAGCCGUUGGGAGUCUUGAACUCUUAGUGGCGCAGCUAACGCAUUAAGUUGACCGCCUGGGGAGUACGGCCGCAAGGUUAAAACUCAAAUGAAUUGACGGGGGCCCGCACAAGCGGUGGAGCAUGUGGUUAAUUCGAAGCAACGCGAAGAACCUUACCUGGCCUUGACAUGCUGAGAACUUUCUAGAGAUAGAUGGUGCUUCGGGACUCAGANCAGUGCUGCAUGGCUGUCGUCG
rnacentral:rRNA from 1 species